UACGUAGGGUCCGAGCGUUGUCCGGAAUUACUGGGCGUAAAGAGCUCGUAGGUGGUUUGUCACGUUGUUCGUGAAAACCCACAGCUCAACUGUGGGCGUGCGAGCGAUACGGGCAGACUAGAGUACUGCAGGGGAGACUGGAAUUCCCGGUGUAGCGGUGAAAUGCGCAGAUAUCAGGAGGAACACCGGUGGCGAAGGCAGAUCUCUGGGCCGUAACUGACGCUGAGGAGCGAAAGCAUGGGGAGCGAACAGG
rnacentral:rRNA from 1 species